rnacentral:tRNA from 2 species
GCGUUGGUGGUGUAGUGGUGAGCACAGCUGCCUUUCAAGCAGUUAACGCGGGUUCGAUUCCCGGGUAACGAA